rnacentral:rRNA from 1 species
AUUGAACGCUGGCGGCAUGCCUUACACAUGCAAGUCGAACGGCAGCACGGACUUCGGUCUGGUGGCGAGUGGCGAACGGGUGAGUAAUAUAUCGGAACAUACCUUGUAGUGGGGGAUAACUAUCCGAAAGGAUAGCUAAUACCGCAUACGCUCUAAGGAGGAAAGCGGGGGAUCGUAAGACCUCGUGCUAUAAGAGUGGCCGAUAUCUGAUUAGCUAGUUGGUGAGGUAAAGGCUCACCAAGGCGACGAUCAGUAGCUGGUCUGAGAGGACGCCCAGCCUCACUGGAACUGAGACACGGUCCAGACUCCUACGGGAGGCAGCAGUGGGGAAUUUUGGACAAUGGGGGCAACCCUGAUCCAGCAAUGCCGCGUGAGUGAAGAAGGCCUUCGGGUUGUAAAGCUCUUUUGUCAGGGAAGAAACGGUUGUGGCUAAUAUCCAUGGCUAAUGACGGUACCUGAAGAAUAAGCACCGGCUAACUACGUGCCAGCCGCCGCCGUAAAAC